ACACGACUACAUUAGAUACCCCUGUAGUCCUAGCCGUAAACGAUACUCGCUAGGUGUCGGCCACGGUGCGACCGUUGUCGGUGCCGUAGGGAAGCCGUGAAGCGAGCCACCCGGGAAGUACGGCCGCAAGGCUGAAACUUAAAGGAAUUGGCGGGGGAGCACAACAACGGGUGGAGCUUGCGGUUUAAUUGGAUUCAACGCCGGAAAUCUUACCGGGACCGACAGCAACAUGAAGGCCAAGCUGAAGACUUUGCCGGAUUAGCUG
rnacentral:rRNA from 1 species